UACGUAGGGGGCUAGCGUUGUCCGGAAUCAUUGGGCGUAAAGAGCGUGUAGGCGGCCCGGUAAGUCCGCUGUGAAAGUCGGGGGCUCAACCCUCGAAUGCCGGUGGAUACUGUCGGGCUAGAGUGCGGAAGAGGCGAGUGGAAUUCCUGGUGUAGCAGUGAAAUGCGUAGAUAUCAGGAGGAACACCGAUGGCGAAGGCAGGUCUCUGGGCUGACACUGACGCUCAUGCACGAAAGCGUGGGGAGCAAGCAGG
rnacentral:rRNA from 1 species